UCGACGGGGAGGAUCUCGGCGUUCCAGGCGCGGCUGGUGACCUCGAAGACGGCCGAGAGGCGGUUGGAGUCCGUCUCGUCGGG
rnacentral:tRNA from 1 species